GGUGGCGCACGCCUGUAAUCCCAGCUACUCGGAGGCUGAGACAGGAGAAUCACUUGAACUCAGGAGGCGGAGGCUGCAGUGAGCUGAAACCAUGCUAUUGCACUCCAGCCUGGGCAACAGAGCGAGACUUCAUCUCAAAAAAAAAAAAAAAGCCACUCCAACUCUAAAAAACAUAUUAAAAUGUGGCCACAAAUGGUCACUGAUUAAUUCAUUAACGUUUUAUAAUAAAGGUUAUGAAUACUGUAAAUAUAAAAACCUUAUAACUCAGUAACCUAAAUAAAGUUCUGCUCCCACCCUAAUAUCCCAGUUGGGAACUAGACAGAAAUUGGAC
rnacentral:lncRNA from 1 species